GAGUUUGAUCAUGGCUCAGGACGAACGCUGGCGGCGUGCCUAAUACAUGCAAGUAGAACGCUGAAGAGAGGAGCUUGCUCUUCUUGGAUGAGUUGCGAACGGGUGAGUAACGCGUAGGUAACCUGCCUUGUAGCGGGGGAUAACUAUUGGAAACGAUAGCUAAUACCGCAUAACAAUAGGUGACACAUGUCAUUUAUUUGAAAGGGGCAAUUGCUCCACUACAAGAUGGACCUGCGUUGUAUUAGCUAGUAGGUGAGGUAACGGCUCACCUAGGCGACGAUACAUAGCCGACCUGAGAGGGUGAUCGGCCACACUGGGACUGAGACACGGCCCAGACUCCUACGGGAGGCAGCAGUAGGGAAUCUUCGGCAAUGGGGGCAACCCUGACCGAGCAACGCCGCGUGAGUGAAAAAGGUUUUCGGAUCGUAAAGCUCUGUUGUAAGUCAAGAACGAGUGUGAGAGUGGAAAGUUCACACUGUGACGGUAGCUUACCAGAAAGGGACGGCUAACUACGUGCCAGCAGCCGCGGUAAUACGUAGGUCCCGAGCGUUGUCCGGAUUUAUUGGGCGUAAAGCGAGCGCAGGCGGUUUGAUAAGUCUGAAGUUAAAGGCUGUGGCUCAACCAUAGUUCGCUUUGGAAACUGUCAAACUUGAGUGCAGAAGGGGAGAGUGGAAUUCCAUGUGUAGCGGUGAAAUGCGUAGAUAUAUGGAGGAACACCGGUGGCGAAAGCGGCUCUCUGGUCUGUAACUGACGCUGAGGCUCGAAAGCGUGGGGAGCGAACAGGAUUAGAUACCCUGGUAGUCCACGCCGUAAACGAUGAGUGCUAGGUGUUGGAUCCUUUCCGGGAUUCAGUGCCGCAGCUAACGCAUUAAGCACUCCGCCUGGGGAGUACGACCGCAAGGUUGAAACUCAAAGGAAUUGACGGGGGCCCGCACAAGCGGUGGAGCAUGUGGUUUAAUUCGAAGCAACGCGAAGAACCUUACCAGGUCUUGACAUCCCGAUGCUAUUUCUAGAGAUAGAAAGUUACUUCGGUACAUCGGUGACAGGUGGUGCAUGGUUGUCGUCAGCUCGUGUCGUGAGAUGUUGGGUUAAGUCCCGCAACGAGCGCAACCCCUAUUGUUAGUUGCCAUCAUUCAGUUGGGCACUCUAGCGAGACUGCCGGUAAUAAACCGGAGGAAGGUGGGGAUGACGUCAAAUCAUCAUGCCCCUUAUGACCUGGGCUACACACGUGCUACAAUGGUUGGUACAACGAGUUGCGAGUCGGUGACGGCAAGCUAAUCUCUUAAAGCCAAUCUCAGUUCGGAUUGUAGGCUGCAACUCGCCUACAUGAAGUCGGAAUCGCUAGUAAUCGCGGAUCAGCACGCCGCGGUGAAUACGUUCCCGGGCCUUGCACACACCGCCCGUCAA
rnacentral:rRNA from 1 species